rnacentral:misc_RNA from 1 species
GGGGCUGUAGCUCAGCUGGGAGAGCACCUGCUUUGCAAGCAGGGGGUCAGCGGUUCGAUCCCGCUCAGCUCCACCAUUCGAUUGGUGUUGAACUGGCGGAUAUUAUCCUUGGAGAAAAAAUAGGUUUGCAUCGUCUCCAUUGUGAGACGGAUGCCUGUUCUGCUUACAUUGUGAAGAGAAGAUAUGUCUGGAAGCUUCCAGGUGUUGAUGGUGAUCGAAAGGUUGCCUGAGACGUCCGAGCCCAGUCCCGAAGAAGCCAUGGAUGGUCUAGCCGACCGGAAGUGGAAGAGGGUCUGGAGGUAGGAGGGAAGUCUUGUCCUUGAGGCAUGAUCGUUGUUGGGGUGUUCUUCGGAACGCGCCUCUGAUGGUCGUGUCGGAUUGGUGUUGCCUGACCGCGCAUCACCGGACAGAUCUCGAGAAGCUGGUCUUAAGAUAUGGCCUCGAAGUCGCUCGGCGUGACUUUUGUGAGGACCAUAUCGAACACGUCGAUGGCAUUGUUAGAAAGCGCGAUUGUAAAAGGUAAUCGCGCAUAGCUGGUCUGGCGACUGCAAGGUCUCCGGAUUUUGGCUGCUGCGGCAUACGAAAGUUGCCCGGAUGGCCAGAUUCGGCACCCCUUCGAGCGCAAGCGAGGAGGAUAGGUU